rnacentral:lncRNA from 1 species
UUCUCCAUGUUCGGCUUCUUCGUGCAGGCCAUCGUCACCGGGAAGGGUCCCUUGGAAAACCUGGCCGACCACCUGGCGGACCCCGUGAACAACAACGCAUGGGCCUACGCCACCAACUUCGUCCCGGGCAAGUGAGCAACCAUAGUGUCGGUUUGUCACCACCACCACCAUCACCAUCACCACCAUCUCGUUAGGCUUCUCAUGAUUUGAGAUGUCUUGUAUCCCAUGUACUACUCUACUCUACUCAACAGUAUGUUCUUUCGUUGGUCUCCAUCGGUUCCACUGCUCAUUAGCUGCAAUCGCUGAGAUCGAGGGUAAAUUUGAUGUGAUUCACCGUCCGCCAGCCAUUGUCCCCCCUAUCAGCCACUCUCCGUGAAGUUGUGAAUCAGCUCACAAACAGAACC